rnacentral:rRNA from 1 species
ACGGGUGAGUAACGCGUGGGAACACACCUUUUGGUUCGGAACAACACAGGGAAACUUGUGCUAAUACCGAAUAAGCCCUUACGGGGAAAGAUUUAUCGCCGAAAGAUUGGCCCGCGUCUGAUUAGCUUGUUGGUGAGGUAACGGCUCACCAAGGCGACGAUCAGUAGCUGGUCUGAGAGGAUGAUCAGCCACAUUGGGACUGAGACACGGCCCAAACUCCUACGGGAGGCAGCAGUGGGGAAUAUUGGACAAUGGGCGCAAGCCUGAUCCAGCCAUGCCGCGUGAGUGAUGAAGGCCCUAGGGUUGUAAGGCUCUUUUGUGCGGGAAGAUAAUGACGGUACCGCAAGAAUAAGCCCCGGCUAACUUCGUGCCAGCAGCCGCGGUAAUACGAAGGGGGCUAGCGUUGCUCGGAAUCACCGGGCGUAAAGGGUGCGUAGGCGGGUCUUUAAGUCAGAGGUGAAAGCCUGGAGCUCAACUCCAGAACUGCCUUUGAUACUGAGGAUCUCGAGUUCGGGAGAGGUGAGUGGAACUGCGAGUGUAGAGGUGAAAUUCGUAGA